CCUACGGGGGGCAGCAGUGAGGAAUAUUGGUCAAUGGGCGCGAGCCUGAACCAGCCAAGUCGCGUGAGGGAUGACGGUCCUACGGAUUGUAAACCUCUUUUGCCGGGGAGCAAGCGUGCGUUCGUGAACGCACGUCGAGCGUACCCGGAGAAAAAGCAUCGGCUAACUCCGUGCCAGCAGCCGCGGUAAUACGGAGGAUGCGAGCGUUAUCCGGAAUUACUGGGUGUAAAGGGAGCGUAGGCGGGAAAGCAAGUUGAAUGUUUAAGGUACGGGCUCAACCUGUACAAGCGUUCAAAACUGUUUUUCUUGAGUGGAGUAGAGGUAAGCGGAAGUCCUAGUGUAGCGGUGAAAUGCGUAAAUAUUAGGAGGAACACCAGUGGCGAAGGCGGCUUACUGGGCUUUAACUGACGCUGAGGCUCGAAAGCGUGGGUAGCAAACAGGAUUAGAUACCCUGGUAGUC
rnacentral:rRNA from 1 species